rnacentral:rRNA from 1 species
AUCGUGGGAGGAAGGUGAGGAUGACGCCAGGUCAGCAUGGCCCUCUGAUACCCUGGGCUACACACGUGAUACAAUCGCCGGUACAACGGGACGCAAUAUCGUAAAAGAUGGAGCAAAUCCCUAUAAGUCGGCGCCAGUUCGGAUUGAGGUCUGCAACUCGACCUCAUGAAGCCGGAAUCGCUAGUAAUCGCGGGUCAGCUAUACCGCGGUGAAUACGUUCUCAAGUCUUGUACUCAGAAUUAAAGGCGCUGGGCAGGUAAUAAAUCUAAAUCGUUAAAAUCGAUUCCUAA